CCGCCGGCGACCGGCGCACGGGUGAGUAACGCGUAUGCAACCUGCCCGUUUCAGCGGGAUAACCCGGAGAAAUCCGGCCUAAUACCGCACGUGGCCGAGGGGAGGCAUCUUCUUUCGGCCAAAGGAGGCGACUCCGGAGACGGAUGGGCAUGCGUGACAUUAGCUUGUUGGCGGGGUAACGGCCCACCAAGGCGACGAUGUCUAGGGGUUCUGAGAGGAAGGUCCCCCACACUGGUACUGAGACACGGACCAGACUCCUACGGAAGGCAGCAG
rnacentral:rRNA from 1 species